AUUUAACGCUGGCGGCAAGCCUAACACAUGCAAGUCGAACGAGUGGCGGACGGGUGAGUAAUGUCUGGGAAACUGCCUGAUGGAGGGGGAUAACUACUGGAAACUGUAGCUAAUACCGCAUACCAUCGGAUGUGCCCAGAUGGUAUUAGCUAGUUGGUGGGGUAAAGGAUCACCUAGGCGACGAUCCCUAGCUGGUCUGAGAGGAUGACCAGCCAAACUGGAACUGAGACAAGGUCCAGACUCCUACGGGAGGAAGCAGUGGGGAAUAUUGCACAAUGGGCGCAAGCCUGAUGCAGCCAUGCCGCGUGUAUGAAGAAGGCCUUCGGGUUGUAAAGUACUUUCAGCAGGGAGGCGUUAACCGCAGAAGAAGCACCGGCUAACUCCGUGCCAGCAGCCGCGGUAAUAC
rnacentral:rRNA from 1 species